GACGAACGCUGGCGGCGUGCUUAACACAUGCAAGUCGAACAGUAAGGCCCUUCGGGGUACACGAGUGGCGAACGGGUGAGUAACACGUGGGUGAUCUGCCCUGCACUUCGGGAUAAGCCUGGGAAACUGGGUCUAAUACCGGAUAGGACUCCUGCCUGCAUGGGUGGGGGUGGAAAGCUUUUGCGGUGUGGGAUGGGCCCGCGGCCUAUCAGCUUGUUGGUGGGGUGAUGGCCUACCAAGGCGACGACGGGUAGCCGGCCUGAGAGGGUGACCGGCCACACUGGGACUGAGAUACGGCCCAGACUCCUACGGGAGGCAGCAGUGGGGAAUACUGCACAAUGGGCGCAAGCCUGAUGCAGCGACGCCGCGUGAGGGAUGACGGCCUUCGGGUUGUAAACCUCUUUUAGUAGGGAAGAAGCGAAAGUGACGGUACCUGCAGAAAAAGCACCGGCUAACUACGUGCCAGCAGCCGCUGUAA
rnacentral:rRNA from 1 species